GUAUCAGAAGUGCGAAUGCUGACAUAAGUAACGAUAAAGCGGGUGAAAAGCCCGCUCGCCGGAAGACCAAGGGUUCCUGUCCAACGUUAAUCGGGGCAGGGUGAGUCGACCCCUAAGGCGAGGCCGAAAGGCGUAGUCGAUGGGAAACAGGUUAAUAUUCCUGUACUUGGUGUUACUGCGAAGGGGGGACGGAGAAGGCUAUGUCAGCCGGGCGACGGUUGUCCCGGUUUAAGCAUGUAGGCG
rnacentral:rRNA from 1 species